rnacentral:rRNA from 1 species
UACAGAGGUCUCAAGCGUUGUUCGGAUUCAUUGGGCGUAAAUGGCGCGUAGGCGGCGAGGUAAGUCGGGUGUGAAAUCUCAGAGCUCAACUCUGAAACUGCACUCGAUACUGCUUUGCUAGAGGACUGGAGAGGAGAUUGGAAUUCACGGUGUAGCAGUGAAAUGCGUAGAGAUCGUGAGGAAGACCAGUGGCGAAGGCGGAUCUCUGGACAGUUCCUGACGCUGAGGCGCGAAGGCCAGGGGAGCAAACGGG